rnacentral:RNase_P_RNA from 1 species
GGAGUCGGCCGGACAGUCGCCCGGCUACUCAUUCGGAAUAGGCUUGAACGAUUGUAUCAUUUUCAGUCAUCGAGCCGGACGAAUGAACGGCCGAGAGGAAAGUCCGGGCUCCACAGGGCAAGGUGCCAGGUAACGCCUGGGGGGCGCGAGCCCACGGAAAGUGCCACAGAAAAGAUACCGCCCCGCUACUAUCCUUAGCAGGAUCAGUGAGAUCUGCCACUGCUUUGUUUAGGCUUAGGAAGUGCUUACUGGUCCAGCGAAGGAUAGUAGCGGGGUAAGGGUGAAAAGGUGCGGUAAGAGCGCACCGCGCCGGCGGUAACGUCGGUGGCAGGCAAAACCCCGCACGGAGCAAGACCAAAUAGGGUGACGCUGGCAUCCCAACGCGCAAGCGUGCGCGGUGGGAACCCGCCAAUCGGACGGCCCGUCCGAGGUCACCGGGUAGGUCGCUUAGAGGUGCGCGGCGACGGGCAUCCUAGAUGAAUGACUGUCCUCGACAGAACCCGGCUUACAGGCCGGCUCCCGUC